rnacentral:rRNA from 1 species
AUUGAACGCUGGCGGCAGGCCUAACACAUGCAAGUCGAGCGGAUGAAGGGAGCUUGCUCCUGGAUUCAGCGGCGGACGGGUGAGUAAUGCCUAGGAAUCUGCCUGGUAGUGGGGGAUAACGUUCCGAAAGGAACGCUAAUACCGCAUACGUCCUACGGGAGAAAGCAGGGGACCUUCGGGCCUUGCGCUAUCAGAUGAGCCUAGGUCGGAUUAGCUAGUUGGUGAGGUAAUGGCUCACCAAGGCGACGAUCCGUAACUGGUCUGAGAGGAUGAUCAGUCACACUGGAACUGAGACACGGUCCAGACUCCUACGGGAGGCAGCAGUGGGGAAUAUUGGACAAUGGGCGAAAGCCUGAUCCAGCCAUGCCGCGUGUGUGAAGAAGGUCUUCGGAUUGUAAAGCGCUUUAAGUUGGGAGGAAGGGCAGUAAGUUAAUACCUUGCUGUUUUGACGUUACCGACAGAAUAAGCACCGGCUAACUUCGUGCCAGCAGCCGCCGUAACAC